GAUCAUGGCUCAGAGCGAACGCUGGCGGCAGGCCUAACACAUGCAAGUCGAGCGCCCGUAGCAAUACGGGAGCGGCAGACGGGUGAGUAACACGUGGGAACGUGCCCUUUGGUUCGGAAUAACUCAGGGAAACUUGAGCUAAUACCGGAUAAGUCCGUAAGGAGAAAGAUUUAUCGCCGAAGGAGCGGCCCGCGUCCGAUUAGCUAGUUGGUGGGGUAAUGGCCCACCAAGGCUACGAUCGGUAGCUGGUCUGAGAGGAUGACCAGCCACACUGGGACUGAGACACGGCCCAGACUCCUACGGGAGGCAGCAGUGGGGAAUAUUGGACAAUGGGGGCAACCCUGAUCCAGCCAUGCCGCGUGGGUGAUGAAGGCCCUAGGGUUGUAAAGCCCUUUCGGCGGGGAAGAUAAUGACGGUACCCGCAGAAGAAGCCCCGGCUAACUUCGUGCCAGCCGCUGC
rnacentral:rRNA from 1 species